GAUGAAGAACGUAGCGAAAUGCGAUAAGUAAUGUGAAUUGCAGAAUUCAGUGAAUCAUCGAAUCUUUGAACGCACCUUGCGCUCUUUGGUAUUCCGAAGAGCAUGCCUGUUUGAGUGUCAUGAAAAUAUCAACCUUGACUUGGGUUUUGUGCUCUAGUCUCGGCUUGGAAUUGGGUGCUUGCCGCUUUUACGAGCGGCUCACCUUAAAUGUAUUAGCUGGAUCUGUCUUUGAGACUUGGUUUGACUUGGCGUAAUAAGUAUUUCGCUAAGGACAUUCUUCGGAGUGGCCUCGUUUCUAGGACGCUUGUCCGCUUUCCAAUACAAGUUCCACCUCGUGGACAUGACUUUUUAUUAUCUGGCCUCAAAUCAGGUAGGACUACCCGCUGAACUUAAGCAUAUCAAUAGCGGAGGA
rnacentral:misc_RNA from 1 species